rnacentral:rRNA from 1 species
ACCUACGGGGGGCAGCAGUGAGGAAUAUUGGUCAAUGGGCGAGAGCCUGAACCAGCCAAGUCGCGUGAGGGAUGACUGCCCUAUGGGUUGUAAACCUCUUUUGUAUGGGGGGAAUAAGCUUUACGAGUAGAGUGAUGACAGUACCAUACGAAUAAGCAUCGGCUAACUCCGUGCCAGCAGCCGCGGUAAUACGGAGGGCGCGAGCGUUAAUCGGAAUUACUGGGCGUAAAGCGCGCGUAGGCUGUUGUGUAAGUUGGGGGUGAAAUCCCACGGCCCAACCGUGGAACAGCCCUUGAUACUGCGCG